rnacentral:rRNA from 1 species
UACGUAGGGGGCUAGCGUUGUCCGGAUUUAUUGGGCGUAAAGAGCGUGUAGGCGGCCAGGUAGGUCUGCUGUGAAAGCUCAGGGCUCAACUCUGAGUCGGCCACUGAUACUGCGGGGCUCGAGUCUGGUAGAGGCAGAUGGAAUUCCGGGUGUAGCGGUGGAAUGCGUAGAGAUCCGGAAGAACACCGGUGGCGAAGGCGGUCUGCUGGGCCAGUACUGACGCUGAGGCGCGACAGCGUGGGGAGCAAACAGG